GCCUGGUAGCCACAGUUGCAGGUUGGGCUGGAAUAAUUGUUCCUUCUCUUGAUGUGUCCUUGUUCUCAGGUCAGGUUGAUAUGGCUAGGCGGCCUGCUGGCGAGAUAGUGGGAGUGGGCGGUCCGCCCCUCAGGACCUCUGACUUGGACAGAUGACUGGAUGACUCUCUGGGGCAGCAUUCACCGGAACUCAUAUGGAGGGGGCUGCCUGAGAAACCAACCUGUGUGCCUGGGUCAGGUUGAUAUGGCUAGGCGGCCUGCUGGCGAGAUAGUGGGAGUGGGCGGUCCGCCCCUCAGGACCUCUGACUUGGACAGAUGACUGGAUGACUCUCUGGGGCAGCAUUCACCGGAACUCAUAUGGAGGGGGCUGCCUGAGAAACCAACCUGUGUGCCUGGGUCAGGUUGAUAUGGCUAGGCGGCCUGCUGGCGAGAUAGUGGGAGUGGGCGGUCCGCCCCUCAGGACCUCUGACUUGGACAGAUGACUGGAUGACUCUCUGGGGCAGCAUUCACCGGAACUCAUAUGGAGGGGGCUGCCUGAGAAACCAACCUGUGUGCCUGGGU
rnacentral:lncRNA from 1 species